rnacentral:pre_miRNA from 1 species
AAAUUGUCCCUUAAGUUUUGCAACUAUAGCAGUUUUGGCCCCCAAGCCCAAUUUUUGGUAAAAAAAAAUAACAUGUGGCACCUCACUUAGGGUGCCACAUCAGUGUAGACCGAGUCAAAAUUGGCAUUGGAGGCCAAAACUGCCACAAAUGCAAAACUUAGGGAGCGGUUU